rnacentral:rRNA from 1 species
GACGAACGCUGGCGGCGUGCUUAACACAUGCAAGUCGAACGGAAAGGCCCUGCUUUUGUGGGGUGCUCGAGUGGCGAACGGGUGAGUAACACGUGAGUAAACUGCCCUUGAAUUUGGGAUAACUUCAGGAAACUGGGGCUAAUACCGGAUAGGAGCUCCUGAUGCAUGGUGGGGGUUGGAAAGUUUCGGCGGUUUGGGAUGGACUCGCGGGUUACCAGCUUGUUGGUGGGGUAGUGGCUUACCAAGGGUUUGACGGGUAGCCGGCCUGAGAGGGGGGACAGGCUCCAGGGUCCUACGGGAGGGCCCAGACGGCAACGGUCGGCAACGGGCGGGAGUAUUACACAAUGGCGGCGAGCCUGUUACGAAGGCCCUGCGAUCGGGAAGACGGCCUUCGGGUUGUGAACCGCUUUGUCCGUUGCCGUAGCGUUCUUGACGGUAAUUAGUCAAGAAGCACCGGCUAACUACGUG